GAUGAACGCUGGCGGCGUGCCUAAUACAUGCAAGUCGAGCGAACGGAUGAGAAGCUUGCUUCUCUGAUGUUAGCGGCGGACGGGUGAGUAACACGUGGAUAACCUACCUAUAAGACUGGGAUAACUUCGGGAAACCGUAGCUAAUACCGGAUAAUAUUUUGAACCGCAUGGUUCAAAAGUGAAAGACGGUCUUGCUGUCACUUAUAGAUGGAUCCGCGCUGCAUUAGCUAGUUGGUAAGGUAACGGCUUACCAAGGCAACGAUGCAUAGCCGACCUGAGAGGGUGAUCGGCCACACUGGAACUGAGACACGGUCCAGACUCCUACGGGAGGCAGCAGUAGGGAAUCUUCCGCAAUGGGCGAAAGCCUGACGGAGCAACGCCGCGUGAGUGAUGAAGGGCUUCGGAUCGUAAAACUCUGUUAUUAGGGAAGAACAUAUGUGUAAGUAACUGUGCACAUCUUGACGGUACCUAAUCAGAAAGCCACGGCUAACUACGUGC
rnacentral:rRNA from 1 species